rnacentral:rRNA from 1 species
GCCAGCAGCCAUAUCAUCCUGCAACUCGCAACUGGCAACUCACUGAAGCUAAGCAGGUAUGAGACUUAGCAGUACCUGGAUGAGAGACCUCUUGGGAAAGGUUGCUGCUGGAA